rnacentral:rRNA from 1 species
CAGAGGUGGCAAGCGUUGUUCGGAAUUACUGGGCGUAAAGGGCGCGUAGGCGGCCUUCUAAGUCAGACGUGAAAUCCCCCGGCUUAACCUGGGAACUGCGUCUGAUACUGGGAGGCUUGAGUAUGGGAGAGGGAUGUAGAAUUCCAGGUGUAGCGGUGAAAUGCGUAGAUAUCUGGGGGAAUACCGGUGGCGAAGGCGGCAUCCUGGACCGACAUUGACGCUGAGGAGCGAAAGCUAGGGGAGCAAACGGG